rfam:Hordeum vulgare subsp. vulgare, WGS project CAJW01000000 data, contig: morex_contig_181869
AUUAUACUCCCUCCGUCUCAAAAUUCUUGUCUUAGAAGGCAUCUAGUCACAUUUUAGUAUUUAGAUACAUUCAUCUCUAGACAAAGCUAAGACAAGAAUUUUGAGACGGAGGGAGUACAUA